AUGCAAGUCGAGCGGACUAAUGGGAGCUUGCUCCCGUUAGUUAGCGGCGGACGGGUGAGUAACACGUGGGCAACCUACCUGUAAGACUGGGAUAACUUCGGGAAACCGGAGCUAAUACCGGAUGACAUAAAGGAACUCCUGUUCCUUUGUUGAAAGAUGGCUUCGGCUAUCACUUACAGAUGGGCCCGCGGCGCAUUAGCUAGUUGGUGAGGUAACGGCUCACCAAGGCGACGAUGCGUAGCCGACCUGAGAGGGUGAUCGGCCACACUGGGACUGAGACACGGCCCAGACUCCUACGGGAGGCAGCAGUAGGGAAUCUUCCGCAAUGGACGAAAGUCUGACGGAGCAACGCCGCGUGAGCGAUGAAGGCCUUCGGGUCGUAAAGCUCUGUUGUUAGGGAAGAAUAAGUGCUAGUUGAAUAAGCUGGCACCUUGACGGUACCUAACCAGAAAGCCACGGCUAACUACGUGCCAGCAGCCGCGGUAAUACGUAGGUGGCAA
rnacentral:rRNA from 1 species